GAUGAACGCUAGCGGCAGGCUUAAUACAUGCAAGACGAACGGUAAGUAGUGUAGCAAUACAUUGCCUAGAGUGUCGUACGGGUGCGUAACACGUAUGCAACCUACCUUGUACAGGAGUAUAGCUCCCCGAAAGGGGAAUUAACCCUCCAUAAUAUCAUUGAAUGGCAUCAUUUGAUGAUUAAAACUGAGGUGGUACAAGA
rnacentral:rRNA from 1 species